CGUUGGCCCGUAAUCCGGGUUGCGGACAGUGUCUGGUGGGUAGUUUGACUGGGGCGGUCUCCUCCUAAAGAGUAACGGAGGAGCACGAAGGUUGGCUAAUCCUGGUCGGACAUCAGGAGGUUAGUGCAAUGGCAUAAGCCAGCUUGACUGCGAGCGUGACGGCGCGAGCAGGUGCGAAAGCAGGUCAUAGUGAUCCGGUGGUUCUGAAUGGAAGGGCCAUCGCUCAACGGAUAAAAGGUACUCCGGGGAUAACAGGCUGAUACCGCCCAAGAGUUCAUAUCGACGGCGGUGUUUGGCACCUCGAUGUCGGCUCAUCACAUCCUGGGGCUGAAGUAGGUCCCAAGGGUAUGGCUGUUCGCCAUUUAAAGUGGUACGCGAGCUGGGUUUAGAACGUCGUGAGACAGUUCGGUCCCUAUCUGCCGUGGGCGCUGGAGAACUGAGGGGGGCUGCUCCUAGUACGAGAGGACCGGAGUGGACGCAUCACUGGUGUUCGGGUUGUCAUGCCAAUGGCACUGCCCGGUAGCUAAAUGCGGAAGAGAUAAGUGCUGAAAGCAUCUAAGCACGAAACUUGCCCCGAGAUGAGUUCUCCCUGAGACUUAGAGUCUCCUGAAGGAACGUUGAAGACGACGACGUUGAUAGGCCGGGUGUGUAAGCGCAGCGAUGCGUUGAGCUAACCGGUACUAAUGAACCGUGAG
rnacentral:rRNA from 1 species